rnacentral:tRNA from 1 species
GCCGGAGUAGCUCAGCUGGUAGAGCAGCUGAUUUGUAAUCAGCAGGCCGUCGGUUCGAGUCCGACCUCCGGCU